rnacentral:rRNA from 1 species
GCGUGCUACACAUGCAAGUCGAACGAACUUCGGCGUUACGUGGCGCGACGGGUGAGUAACGCUGAUCUGCCCUCAGAGAGGGGGACAACAGUUGGAAACGACUGCUAAUACCCCAUAUGCCGCGAGGUGAAAUGAAUUUCGCCUGCGGAUGAGCUCGCCGUCUGAUUAGACUAGUUGGUGUAGAGUAAUGGCUCACCAAGGACAUCGAUCAGUAGCUGGUCUUGAGAGGAUGAUCAGCCACACUGGGACUGAGACACGGCCCAGACUCCUACGGGACGCACCAGUGGGGAAUUUUCCGCAAUGGGCGAAAGCCUGACGGAGCAACGCCGCGUGAGCGGAUGAAGGCCUCUGGGCUGUAAACCUCUUUUAUCAACGGAAGAAGAUCUGACGGUACUUGAUGAAUAACGCCACGGCUAAUUCCAGUGCCAGCAGACGCGGUAACUACGGGAGAUGGCAAUGCGUUACUCCCGGAAUUAUUCGGGCGUACAGCGUCCAGCCAAGGCGGCCCUUACAAGUCUGCUGUACACAAACGUGGAGCUUAACUCCAUCAUGGCAGGUGGAAACUGUCAGGGGCUUUGAAU